GACAGUUAUGGAAUGAGCUUAAUCUUGUUACAGCAGGAGGUUGAGUCUGCCCCAGCAGCGAUGAGGAGAAUAAUUCAGCAUGGAAGUGAUUUUGCAAUUCAGAGAACAAGUACGAUUGUAGUGGAGUGACCUCUUUAGGUAACACAAGGCAUGACCAACUUUCUAGAGGAAUGCUUGGCACCCUCCACUCUGAUGAGUGUGCUGUGGACCUUUCUAGUUCAGUUCUGUUUUUUGGCAUCCCCAGAUACUUUUUGGGGAUAACAAUUCAAAACCAGCUAGGAAGUUUCUGUCCUAAGAUGUGGGCACAAGAAAGAGAGAGGGAUCCAGCUUGUUGGAAUGGCUAUCCAGUUGCUACAGGACAGGCAUUUGAUCUGUAAUGAAGCCUGCUUAAUUGUAGCAGUCAAUGAGAACUGAAACACAGUCUUGUUUCUGACCACUCUGUAACUGCAGGAACUUCUAAGGCAAUGAUUGUUAGCCACAAACAUGACCAAAGAAUGGUAGUAAAUAAAGAAGACAAGCAGAGAAGCCUUAUCAUUUUCUACCAUAUCCUGGAGAAUCCACUACUUCAGCAGCCUCUUGCCUAUGACUGAAUAACAUCAUCAACAGACUUCUGAGUUUACUUGAUUCAAGUACCACCCGCAGAGUCAUGAGUGACAAGUACUGUUAAUGCCAUAAAGCUCUAGAAACAGA